rnacentral:rRNA from 1 species
GUGCCAGCCGCCGCGGUAAUACGGAGGGUGCAAGCGUUAAUCGGAAUUACUGGGCGUAAAGCGCACGUAGGUGGUUUGUUAAGCCAGCUGUGAAAUCCCCGGGCUCAACCUGGGCACUGCAGUUGGAACUGGCAAGCUAGAGUAGGGUAGAGGGGUGUGGAAUUUCAGGUGUAGCGGUGAAAUGCGUAGAUAUCUGAAGGAACAUCAGUGGCGAAGGCGACACCCUGGACUCAUACUGACACUGAGGUGCGAAAGCGUGGGGAGCAAACAGGAUUAGAAACCCGAGUAGUCC